rnacentral:ribozyme from 1 species
AAACAAAACAUCGGCAACGAAGAGAUUCAAUAGUAUGACCCAAAAAUAUGAGUUUCUGUCCAGACAAACUUUUAUGUUAUCUCUUUCCUUCAUCUUUCCUGUCUCUCAGCUCGUCGAGAAGAAGCUAAAAAGAGUGACGAAGA